UGGGGAAUAUUGCACAAUGGGCGAAAGCCUGAUGCAGCAACGCCGCGUGAGUGAUGAAGGUCUUCGGAUUGUAAAGCUCUGUCUUUUGGGACGAUAAUGACGGUACCAAAGGAGGAAGCCACGGCUAACUACGUGCCAGCAGCCGCGGUAAUACGUAGGUGGCGAGCGUUGUCCGGAUUUACUGGGCGUAAAGGGUGCGUAGGCGGAUGUUUAAGUGAGAUGUGAAAUACCCGGGCUUAACUUGGGUGCUGCAUUUCAAACUGGAUAUCUAGAGUGCAGGAGAGGAGAAUGGAAUUCCUAGUGUAGCGGUGAAAUGCGUAGAGACUAGGAAGAACACCAGUGGCGAAGGCGAUUCUCUGGACUGUAACUGACGCUGAGGCACGAAAGCGUGGGUAGCAAACAGGAUUAGAUACCCUGGUAGUCCACGCCGUAAACGAUGAGUACUAGGUGUAGGAGGUAUCGACCCCUUCUGUGCCGCAGUAAACACAUUAAGUACUCCGCCUGGGAAGUACGAUCGCAAGAUUAAAAC
rnacentral:rRNA from 1 species